AACCCCUACAAACCGUCUGUGCUUUUAAACUUUUCAUAGAGAGCUGGUGGUAAACGAAUGAAUUAGUUACCGAAACACACCAUGUACCUAAAAAGGGCUAAACUUCAUUUAGCUUGAAGGAAGGACAUGCCAUGUUCACACCCACCUUCCUUCAAGCUGACAAAUAGCAGUCUCAGCCCUUUUUCUCUUUCAUUCGCACAAGCUCAAGAAAUCUCCAAGGCUUCUUCAAAUCACAUUAUCACACAUCAUAAGAUUUGGCUUUCAUUGGACUUUAUCGUAAAUCAGGUUUGAUGCUCGACGCAAACUGUUUGCAGGAACCAAGCACAAAAAUCUAGUCCGUAUUUAAAAGGGAAGUGAAACUCACGACACGUCAACAGGAUGAGAACGGAGGUUUUCCUUGUGCUCCUCGUGACUCUGGCGUUCAGCGACGGAUUGGAUAACAUCGGGAUCAGCUACAAUCAGUCUGACUUUUUUAACUUUGCACCCUGUCAGAUCUCCUUUAAUAACAAUGCGUAUAAUUAUUUUAUGUAUCAACAUAUCCUCCCAAAUAAUUUUGAUGUGAACAACCCAAUGAACUGGCAAGGAUACCUCUCAAGUACAGGUCUGUGUGGAAGAAAACCUGUACAGUCCUUCCUCAGCGGCGCUGAUAUCACGGGAUUGUGAACAUCUGCAACGGACAAGGCAUCAAUGUCAGAUAUAACACCUGCACCAGUAUAAACGCUUUUCUGGUGUACAUUGUUCAAAGUGGUUGGGCAAAUGGAGUGUGUAGUGUUACUGGAAUUUUUUACAACUAUUAUUACGUGACCGUUGCUUGUGAUAAGAUUAAUAACUAUUGUUUGCCCGUUCACUAUGAGACACAAAGUCCCUGGCCACCAGACAUACACGGUGUGAUCUGCAGACCUUAGCAGAAGUCACAUUAACUGUUACCUUGAAAGAGUCCUUCUCAUAACUGCUCACGACUAAGCUCUUGUAAGGCAUUUUUUAGUUUUCAUAUCUUUAAAUGAAUUUGUUAUGCAGUGUCUUUUAACUGAUUUGUGUACAGAUCUUACGAAACAGGAUACAAUUCCUUUUGAAACUAAGCAAAUAAAUCUUCAGAUCUACUUUCGACAGAGGGAGCAAAAGAAAUUAAGAAGUUACCGUAUAAUUAAAUAAUUCAUGUUUUAACCUUU